rnacentral:rRNA from 1 species
CCUACGGGAGGCAGCAGUGGGGAAUCUUGUGCAAUGGACGAAAGUCUGACACAGCCACGCCGCGUGCGGGAAGAAGGCCUUCGGGUUGUAAACCGCUUUCAGCAGGAACGAAAAUGACGGUACCUGCAGAAGAAGAUGCGGCCAACUACGUGCCAGCAGCCGCGGUGAUACGUAGGCAUCAAGCGUUGUCCGGAUUUAUUGGGCGUAAAGAGCUCGUAGGCGGUUCAGCAAGUCGGGUGUGAAAACUCUGGGCUUAACCCAGAGCCUGCACUCGAAACUGCUGUGACUAGAGUUCGGUAGGGGAGCAGGGAAUUCCUAGUGUAGCGGUGAAAUGCGCAGAUAUUAGGAGGAACACCAAUGGCGAAGGCACUGCUCUGGGCCGAUACUGACGCUGAGGAGCGAGAGCGUGGGUAGCAAACAGAAUUAGAUACCCUGGUAGUCCACGCCGUAAACGAUGGGCACUAGGUGUGGGUCUCUAACCAACGAGAUCUGCGCCGUCGCUAACGCAUUAAGUGCCCCGCCUGGGGAGUACGGUCGCAAGACAAAACUCAAAGGAUUGACGG